GUCCACGCUGUAAACGAUGAUCACUCGCUGUUGGCGAUACACUGUCAGUGGCUGAGCGAAAGCAUUAAGUGAUCCACCUGGGGAGUACGAUCGCAAGGUUGAAACUCAAAGGAAUUGACGGGGGCCCGCACAAGCGGUGGAGCAUGUGGUUUAAUUCGAUGAUACGCGAGGAACCUUACCAGGGCUUAAAUGCAGAGUGACAGAUUGGGAAACCAGUUUUUCUUCGGACACUCUACAAGGUGCUGCAUGGUU
rnacentral:rRNA from 1 species